AUUGAACGCUGGCGGCAUGCUUUACACAUGCAAGUCGAACGGUAACAGGCCUUCGGGUGCUGACGAGUGGCGAACGGGUGAGUAAUGCAUCGGAACGUGCCCAAUCGUGGGGGAUAACGUAGCGAAAGUUACGCUAAUACCGCAUAAGCCCUGAGGGGGAAAGUGGGGGACCGCAAGGCCUCACGCGAAUGGAGCGGCCGAUGUCAGAUUAGCUAGUUGGUGGGGUAAAGGCCCACCAAGGCGACGAUCUGUAGCGGGUCUGAGAGGAUGAUCCGCCACACUGGAACUGAGACACGGUCCAGACUCCUACGGGAGGCAGCAGUGGGGAAUUUUGGACAAUGGGCGCAAGCCUGAUCCAGCAAUGCCGCGUGCAGGAUGAAGGCCUCGGUUGUAACUAGCUUUGUACGGUAACGAAACGGACGUCUUUCUAUAAAGAGAGUUAAUGACGGUACCGUAAGAAUAAGACACCGGCUAACUACGUAGCCAGCAGCCGCGGU
rnacentral:rRNA from 1 species